rnacentral:rRNA from 1 species
CAGCAGCCGCGGGAAAACGGAGGGUGCAAGCGUUAAUCGGAAUUACUGGGCGCAAAGCGCACGCAGGCGGUUUGUUAAGUCAGAUGUGAAAUCCCCGAGCUUAACUUGGGAACUGCAUUUGAAACUGGCAAGCUAGAGUCUUGUAGAGGGGGGUAGAAUUCCAGGUGUAGCGGUGAAAUGCGUAGAGAUCUGGAGGAAUACCGGUGGCGAAGGCGGCCCCCUGGACAAAGACUGACGCUCAGGUGCGAAAGCGUGGGGAGCAAACAGGAUUAGAUACCCGCGUAGUCCCUGUCUCUUAUAC